CAAGGAGACCCCCGUCAAUAACCCGGAAGAUCGUGGCCACCAAUGUCCUGGGGAGACCCCCUCAAUGACCCAGGAGAUCUCACCCUCUCCAAUGACUGGAGACUUCAAUGACAGAGGGAGAUCCCGCACCACCAAAAUAUCCGGGAGACACCCCCCCCGCAAUGACCAGUGCUGCUUGGCUCGCGGGAUCUUAGUUCCCCGACCAGGGAUCGAACCCGUGCCCCCUGCUGUGGAAGCGUGGAGUCCUAACCACUGGACUGCCAGGGAAUUCUGAGAAGGUGGUUCUUGAAGCAGGAGGAAGUUCGCCAUGGUGAAUUCGGCUGAGACUCCAGAGAGCCGGCUCUGCCCUCAUCUGUGCAUCAGCUAUGUCUGCCCGUGUUAGCCACUCGGGAGGGCAGGGUUGCGCUGUGACAAAUGGGAGCUUCCUAGAUGCUUCUGUAACCAUAAUUAUGUGAUGCAAGCUAAAGCAGUGAGGAACAUUGCAUGCUUGUGUGUCCAAACUACUCACUUUAAGAAGAGGCAAUGGGAGCCAUAUAGAGAAGAGCAGCAUGACCAAGGGCAACAACAGGCACUGGAAGCAUGAUCAUCCUUGAAAUAGGAGACUGGGGCUGCUGUCCAUGUGAGUCCAGAAACAUGAGGAUAAGCUCCAUAGCACUGGAGGAAAGGUCCAGGAAUGCCCUUCGGACCCCAGCGUCAUUACUCUUGAUAAUUCCUGGGAUUUAAACAGUGUCAGGAAUGGCCACAGCAGGAUCUUAGUUCUCCAACCAGGGAUGGAACCCAUGCCCCCUGCAGUGGAAGCGCAGAGUCUUAACCACUGGACAGCCAUUGAAGUCCCAAUAUUCAGGAACUGGACUAUUGGAUACUGGACACUUGGAGAAAGAAGGGAUGUUUCUAUGUGAACACAGCAGGACUAUGUCAUCUAAGUUUGAGACUUUGCAGAGCGCAGCAGCCCUCACUCCCUCUGUUCCCACACAGCCCUGGACACCUGUCUCCAUCAUUGCUCUUUCCACACAGCCAAGGCGUCUAUAUGGCUGUUCAUAGGCUAUUGUCAGUUCUCAAAAAUGUUUGCUAAAGGAACACAUGAACCCAUUUCUGGUUGGUCACAAAAACUGUUCAAGCCUAGGUGUGAGUGAGAGCUGACAGAGUAAGUCAAGGCUUGCUGAUGGGAAAAAAAUACUGCAUGUUAGAAAAAAACACAACACUAAUGCAUAUAGAAUUUUUCUUACCUAAGCAUUUCACAUCUCCCACUGCAUAAGCCGAAGCAGCUCUGGGUUUGUUGGUGACCAGUGCAAGCUCUCCAAAGUAUUGCCCCUUAUGGCAGCGGGCAAUCUCGACCUCUUGGUUCCCACCAUCCUUGUUUGCUUUAGUCUAGAGCAGGUGGAGAACAUGACCAGGGCUGAUUCCAGAAUCACAACUAGGCACAUCCAGUUGCACACACUUACAUUCCCUUUUCAGUACACUUAACAAAUUACUUACAAAUUC